GACGAACGCUGGCGGCGUGCUUAACACAUGCAAGUCGAACGGUAAGGCCCUUCGGGGUACACGAGUGGCGAACGGGUGAGUAACACGUGGGUGAUCUGCCCUGCACUUCGGGAUAAGCCUGGGAAACUGGGUCUAAUACCGGAUAGGACCACUGCCUGCAUGGGUGGUGGUGGAAAGCUUUUGCGGUGUGGGAUGGGCCCGCGGCCUAUCAGCUUGUUGGUGGGGUGAUGGCCUACCAAGGCGACGACGGGGAGCCGGACUGCGAGGGUGACCGGCCACACUGGGACUGAGAUACGGCGCAGGCUCCUACGGGAGGCAGGAGUGGGGAAUAUUGCACGAUGGGCGAAAGCCUGAUGCAGCGACGCCGCGGGGGGGAUGACGGCCUUCGGGUUGUAAACCUCUUUCAGCACCGACGAAGCGCAAGUGACGGUAGGUGCAGAAGAAGGACCGGCCAACUACGUGCCAGCCGCCGCGGUAA
rnacentral:rRNA from 1 species